rnacentral:rRNA from 1 species
AUUGAACGCUGGCGGCAGGCCUAACACAUGCAAGUCGAACGGUAGCGCAGAGAGCUUGCUCUCGGGUGACGAGUGGCGGACGGGUGAGUAAUGUCUGGGAAACUGCCCGAUGGAGGGGGAUAACUACUGGAAACGGUAGCUAAUACCGCAUAACGUCGCAAGACCAAAGAGGGGGGACCUUCGGGCCUCUUGCCAUCGGAUGUGCCCACGAUGGGAUUAGCUUGUAGGUGAGG